rnacentral:rRNA from 1 species
UACGUAGGGGGGCAAGCGUUGUCCGGAUUUAUUGGGCGUAAAGAGCGUGUAGGCGGUUCGGUAGGUCCGUUGUGAAAACUCGAGGCUCAACCUCGAGACGCCGAUGGAAACCCUCGAACUAGAGUCCGGAAGAGGAGAAUGGAAUUCCUGGUGUAGCGGUGAAAUGCGCAGAUAUCAGGAAGAACACCCAGUGGCUAAGGCGGUCUCUAGGACCGGUACUGACGCUGAGACGAC